GACGAACGCUGGCGGCGUGCUUAAUACAUGCAAGUCGAGCGAAAAGGCGCUGCUCUUGCGGGUUGCUCGUUUGCGGCGCACGUGUGAGAAACACGUAUGUAACCCACCUAUCUGUCUGGGAAAAUUACGGGAAUCCGGCGAAUACCCCGGAGGAGCUUUUGCACCGUGUUGUUCGUUAGAGAAAUUCGGCUUUGCGGUCACUACUCGCUGGUUCUGCGCUGGUUUAGCUAGUUGGUACGGUAAAGGCUUACCACGGCAACGAUACGUAGCCGAGCUGAGAGAGUGAUCGCCGACACUGGAACUGGAACGCGGUCCAUAGUCCUACGGGAGGCAGCAGUAGGGAAUGUUCCGCAAUAGGCGAAAGCCUGACGGAGCAACGCCGCGUGAGAGAUGAAGGUCUUCGGAUCGUAAAACUCUGUUAUUAGGGAAGAACAAACGUGUAAGUAAAUGUGCACGUCUUGACGGUACCGAAUCAGAAAGCCACGGCUAACUACGUG
rnacentral:rRNA from 1 species